CGAACGCUAGCGGCGGGCUUAACACAUGCAAGUCGAGCGAGAACGUCAUCUUCGGAUGAUUAUUAAAGCGGCGAACGGGUGAGUAACGCGUAGGCAAUCUGCCCCAAGGUGGGGGACAACCCGUCGAAAGACGGGCUAAUACCGCAUGAUAUUCGAGAUUCGCAUGUUUCUCGAAUCAAAGAUUUAUCGCCAUGGGAUGAACCUGCGUUCCAUUAGCUUGUUGGUAGGGUAACGGCCUACCAAGGCUACGAUGGAUAGCUGGUCUGAGAGGAUGAUCAGCCACACUGGGACUGAGAUACGGCCCAGACUCCUACGGGAGGCAGCAGUGAGGAAUAUUGCGCAAUGGACGAAAGUCUGACGCAGCCACGCCGCGUGUGGGAUGAAGCCCUUGCGGGUGUAAACCACUGUUAGGAGGGACGAGUACUGGUGUUUUGCAUCAGUGGGACGGUACCUCCAGAGAAAGCUCCGGCUAACUCC
rnacentral:rRNA from 1 species